rnacentral:rRNA from 1 species
CGCGUAGGCGGGGAUACAAGUCAGAUGUGAAAUCUAUGGGCUUAACCCAUAAACUGCAUUUGAAACUGUAUCUCUUGAGUGUCGGAGAGGUAGACGGAAUUCCUAGUGUAGUGGUGAAAUGCGUAGAUAUUAGGAGGAACACCAGUGGCGAAGGCGGUCUACUGGACGAUAACUGACGCUGAGGCGCGAAAGCGUGGGAGCAAACA